rnacentral:misc_RNA from 1 species
AAAUGCGAUAAGUAAUGUGAAUUGCAGAAUUCAGUGAAUCAUCGAAUCUUUGAACGCACAUUGCGCCCGCCAGUAUUCUGGCGGGCAUGCCUGUUCGAGCGUCAUUACAACCCUCAGGCCCCCGGGCCUGGUGUUGGGGAUCGGCGGAAGCCCCCUGCGGGCACAACGCCGUCCCCCAAAUACAGUGGCGGUCCCGCCGCAGCUUCCAUUGCGUAGUAGCUAACACCUCGCAACUGGAGAGCGGCGCGGCCACGCCGUAAAACACCCAACUUCUGAAUGUUGACCUCGAAUCAGGUAGGAAUACCCGCUGAACUUAAGC